rnacentral:rRNA from 3 species
UACCACGGUGUGGUUCAUGACUGGGGUGAAGUCGUAACAAGGUAGCCCUAGGGGAACCUGGGGCUGGAUCACCUCCUUACCUAAAGA